GUUAGGGCACUCUCAUCCCUGUGGGGUGCUUUUUGCUGUGGGGGAAACUAGUCCCCAGGAGGGCCUGCGAGGACCCAUGACCCAAGAAUGUAUAUACAGGAUGUGCCCUCCCCUGGCAUCUCAUGCUCCCCCUGCCUCUGAGCUUUGUACUCACUGUUCUUUAGCCUGAAAUGGCCUUCUUGACUCUCAUCCUGGAGGUCCAGCCCUGAGCCCCCUCUGUAGAGCUGCCUGCCACGACGUGUGUCCGCGGUGCCUGGCCUACCCCUCCAGGACAGCAUGUAGUGUGGCAUGGCAAUGGUCUGUGCAUCUUAUUUCCCAUGAGGUUGCAGGCUCUGGAGAGCAGGGACUAGGUAGGCUUUUCUCUGUCCCCAGGGCCUAUUCCCCAAAGAAGCGAUGGCACAAAAGCAGGCCUCAGCCAGGAUGGCAAGCUGGACUACCCUCCAGGCUGCAAAUCCCACUGGACUCAUUAGCUUCCCUCCACACCAUGAUCUCACAGUGCCCCAAAUUCCAUGGCAACCGUGAGCUGCUGGGCCCUGAGCACCGCAGCCUGGGUGUGCAGACUCCCAAAGAUGCAGCUCCUAGCCCGGGCUGCCUACGGUCAGCUGCCAGGGCUGAGUAGCCCCAUGCAGCCAGGCUGGCUGCAGCCUAACGGAUUUGACCUGGCUGUGGUGUGGUGAGGACAUUCCAGGGCCCCCGGAGGCCCACUGACAGUUCCCAGAUAGGGCAAGGUGGGGAGGUGAAGGCCAUUCAAAUGACCACAAUGACCACUGGGGAGCAAGGGGCAACUGGUCCCCGCCCAGGGCAGCUGUGAGAACAGGAAACCUGCCUCGCACAUCUGGCACAGUACAUGGCUGAGCAUUGGAGUGUCUCAAUCGAAUGAUCAAUUCUCUGGCCACUUGUCAUGACCGGCAGUAAACUAACAAACAGGAACAGGCUAGAACAAAGAGGAAAGUGGAGAUGCACGGCACACGGCAAGAUUUGCAGAGAAGCUGCCAAGAUAAUAAAGUUCCUGUGAACCCUUCAUGCAGCUUCUCCUCAGUCUGGCAUUUAUCAAACUGAAGACAUUAACGCUGAGCCAAUGAACUAAUUCCAGACUUUCUUCAGCCUUGCUGUUUUCCCACUAACGUCCUUCUGCUCCAGGAUCCCAUACUGUACUUAGUCACCAUGUUGUUGAUUGAUUUUUAAUCAUUAAGUUAUAUAUUUAAGCUCCUUUGGGCAAGAGAAAAAAAAAUGAAAAGCCA